rnacentral:rRNA from 1 species
GACGAACGCUGGCGGCGUGCCUAAUACAUGCAAGUUGAGCGCUGAAGGUUGGUACUUGUACCAACUGGAUGAGCAGCGAACGGGUGAGUAACGCGUGGGGAAUCUGCCUUUGAGCGGGGGACAACAUUUGGAAACGAAUGCUAAUACCGCAUAAAAACUUUAAACACAAGUUUUAAGUUUGAAAGAUGCAAUUGCAUCACUCAAAGAUGAUCCCGCGUUGUAUUAGCUAGUUGGUGAGGUAAAGGCUCACCAAGGCGAGGAUACAUAGCCGACCGGAGAGGGUGAGCAGCCACAUUGGGAGGGAGACACGGCCCAAACGCCUACGGGAAGCAGCAGGAGGGAAACGUCGGGAAUGGGCGGAAGUCUGAGCGAGCAACGCCGCGGGAGGGAGGAAGGAUUUCGGGUCGGAAAACUCGGUUGGUGGGGAAGAAAGUGGGUGAGAGUGGGAAGCACAGCAAGUGACGGUAACUGGUCAGAAAGAGACGGCUAACUACGUG